rnacentral:rRNA from 1 species
GACGAACGCUGGCGGCGUGCUUAACACAUGCAAGUCGAACGAGGCCCCUCCUUCGGGAGGGUGUCCUAGUGGCGAACGGGUGAGUAACACGUGGGCAACCUGCCCCCGGCUCUGGGAUAACCCCAAGAAAUUGGGGCUAAUACCGGAUAUGACCGCUGACCGCAUGGUCGGUGGUGGAAAGUUUUUUCGGCUGGGGAUGGGCCCGCGGCCUAUCAGCUUGUUGGUGGGGUAGUGGCCUACCAAGGCGACGACAGGUAGCCGGCCUGAGAGGGUGACCGGCCACACUGGGACUGAGACACGGCCCAGACUCCUACGGGAGGCAGCAGUGGGGAAUAUUGCGCAAUGGGCGGAAGCCUGACGCAGCGACGCCGCGUGGGGGAUGACGGCCUUCGGGUUGUAAACCUCUUUCAGCAGGGACGAAGCGAAAGUGACGGUACCUGCAGAAGAAGCACCGGCCAACUACGUGCCAGCCGCCGCCGUAAUAC